GAUGAACGCUGGCGGCGUGCCUAAUACAUGCCAGUCGAGCGAACAGAUGAGGAGCUUGCUCCUCUGACGUUAGCGGCGGACGGGUGAGUAACACGUGGAUAACCUACCUAUAAGACUGGGAUAACUUCGGGAAACCGGAGCUAAUACCGGAUAAUAUAUUGAACCGCAUGGUUCAAUAGUGAAAGGCGGUUUUGCUGUCACUUAUAGAUGGAUCCGCGCCGCAUUAGCUAGUUGGUAAGGUAACGGCUUACCAAGGCAACGAUGCGUAGCCGACCUGAGAGGGUGAUCGGCCACACUGGAACUGAGACACGGUCCAGACUCCUACGGGAGGCAGCAGUAGGCAAUCUUCCGCAAUGGGCGAAAGCCUGACGGAGCAACGCCGCGUGAGUGAUGAAGGUCUUCGGAUCGUAAAACUCUGUUAUUAGGGAAGAACAAAUGUGUAAGUAACUAUGCACGUCUUGACGGUACCUAAUCAGAAAGCCACGGCUAACUACGUG
rnacentral:rRNA from 1 species